GACGUAUUCCAAUAUCAGAAACAAACCGGUAGAUACAAUACAUACCGCAACCCGCAGCUGUCAGAAAGCUAAAGUUGGCAAUUGAAGAAGAAAUAUCAAUAGAAACAUCAAUAGCUUUGGCAGCAGCAUAUAAGGAUCCUGCCUGCCCACUUCGACCAACACUGAUGCUCUUGGAUAUGAGAAGACCUGUCUUACAGUAGAUUGCAAAAUCCUCACAGUUGUU
rnacentral:misc_RNA from 1 species